rnacentral:rRNA from 1 species
GACGGAAGGUGCAAGCGUUGCUCGGAAUCACUGGGCGUAAAGCGCACGUAGGCGGCUUUCUAAGUCAGGGGUGAAAUCCUGGAGCUCAACUCCAGAACUGCCUUUGAUACUGGAGAGCUUGAGUCCGGAAGAGGUGAGUGGAACUCCGAGUGUAGAGGUGAAAUUCGUAGAUAUUCGGAAGAACACCAGUGGCGAAGGCGGCUCACUGGUCCGGUACUGGCGCUGAGGUGCGAAAGCGUGGGGAGCAAACAGG